UCCCCGAUAGCUCAAUGGUAGAGCGAUCGGCUGUUAACCGAUAGGUUCUAGGUUCGAGUCCUAGUCGGGGAG
rnacentral:tRNA from 1 species